UACGAAGGGUGCAAACGUUGCUCGGAAUCAUUGGGCGUAAAGCGCACGUAGGCGGCUUGCCAAGUCGGACGUGAAAUCCCUCAGCUCAACUGAGGACGUGCAUCCGAAACUGGCGAGCUUGAGUGCUGAAGAGGAUCGCGGAAUUCCCGGUGUAGAGGUGAAAUUCGUAGAUAUCAGGAGGAACACCGGUGGCGAAGGCGGGUCUCUGGACGACCCCUGACACUGAGGCAGCGAAAGCUAGGGGAGCAAACAGG
rnacentral:rRNA from 1 species